rnacentral:rRNA from 1 species
AGAACGAACGCUGGCGGCAGGCCUCAAACAUGCAAGUCUAGGGGGUGUAGCAAUACAUCACCGGCGGACGGGUGCGUAACACGUGGGAAUAUACCUUUUGGUUCGGAACAACGCAGGGAAACUUGCGCUAAUACCGAAUGUGCCCUUACGGGGAAAGAUUUAUCGCCAAAGGAUUAGCCCGCGUAGGAUUAGCUAGUUGGUGAGGUAAUGGCUCACCAAGGCUCCGAUCCUUAGCUGUUCUGAGAGGAAGAUCAGCCACACUGGGACUGAGACACGGCCCAGACUCCUACGGGAGGCAGCAGUUGGGAAUCUUGGACAAUGGGGGAACCCUGAUCCAGCCAUGCCGCGUGAGUGAUGAAGGCCUUCGGGUUGUAAAACUCUUUCGGACGGGACGAUAAUGACGGUACCGUAGAAGAAGCUCGGCUAACUUCGCGCCAGCAGCCGC